UGGGGAAUAUUGGGCAAUGGGGGAAACCCUGACCCAGCAACGCCGCGUGAAGGAAGAAGGCUUUCGGGUUGUAAACUUCUUUUAUUUAGGAAGAUAAUGACGGUACUAGAUGAAUAAGCCACGGCUAACUACGUGCCAGCAGCCGCGGUAAUACGUAGGUGGCAAGCGUUGUCCGGAUUUACUGGGUGUAAAGGGCGUGUAGGUGGGAAGAUAAGUCUGAUGUGAAAUACCACGGCUCAACCGUGGGGCUGCAUUGGAAACUAUUUUUCUUGAGUGAUGGAGAGGCAGGCGGAAUUCCGUGUGUAGCGGUGGAAUGCAUAGAUAUACGGAGGAACACCAGUGGCGAAGGCGGCCUGCUGGACAUUAACUGACACUGAGGCGCGAAAGCGUGGGGAGCAAACA
rnacentral:rRNA from 1 species